rnacentral:lncRNA from 1 species
CAAGUCCUGUAUUCGGGAGCUUGCCCUACAGGUAGUGACUAGACCACUUGCAUAUCGAACGGAUCUUACUCUAAAGGGAGUCAUUGCGAUAUUACCUAGGAAUUUACAGAAUACCAAACUUGGAUAAUAGGUAGACCACUGCAGAGAACCCUUUCGUAGCUACGUUCCCAAUAAAAAGCCGUAAUCCUUCUUUCGCCUGUUAGCCACAUCAAACCUAAAACCUAAUAAACCAAGACUCAGUCACGAAACCUCACUGCACACUAUAUCUGUCUUCAGCCAAUAAAAGACGUCUAUACUAUAGAGAAUCUGGCUCGAAAAGAAACUAGGGAUCAUGAACCCCCUCCAUAAUUCUUUUAUACAGAAUGCUCCCUUUUCCGCACGGGCUAGAUAGCAUUUCUUUUGUCUUUGUCUGGAUGAGUCUCGGAUCAGUAUAGGAUAGCACUCGUCCCUCUUAUCCUUUAGCUUUCGUGUGUCGUGGGAGUAUACCUAUAGUGAGGCAGGAUUCCAAGUUUCAUUUAUGUUUUAGAGAGGAAAUUCCACUUUUCUUUACCUUUACCGGCGGAUGUAUGAGCUGCUCUGAUCAAAUUGGUUGACUUUUACGUGAAGUUGGGCUUAAACACCGAGAGAAGAAUUCAUGAUAACUCGUAGCUACUGAAAGAGGAUAGGUUUAUGAAAUGCUUUAGUGAAUACCACCCGCCUUCCACUGGCCGAUCAAUAAUAGUAGGCAUUCCGCCAGACUCCAUGACUCGGGUUAGGUUAAUCAGCUCCACUCCCUAUGCUAUUGAUAUGCUCGAGCCUGAUCGCUCAUAUGAGGACUUCCACUUUCCAUCGGCCGGCAAGAGUUUCGUCUUACCCGCUUAAUUGCCCGAAACCAACCUUGAAAGGAAUAGUUUGAACUAAUUGCCUGUUUACCAACAAAAGUCGGGUAGGGCAGGGAAUGCCAAUGCCUUUGAUCAGAGUCAGUCAAUCUCCUACUUACUAUGCAACUCGCCCUUUGUGUCUUUAUCAUUAGGCAGCGACCCUUGUCAAGGUCUUCCUCUUGACUUUUGACUAUUAGGCUUACUAUGACCACACUGGUCACUUUCUUUCUAACCACAAACGGGAUCAAGGGCAUCAUUUACUUACAGCGGCAACUAAUUCCCUGCGAUAGAAACUUUCCAAUCUCUUAUGUUUUGGAUAAGAGAAGACUAUCUUAGCUCACGGUAUCACCUCAGUGCUUGCCCAUAAGGCGGUUUAGGUUCGAUCGGGUGCCCUUUUGAUCGAUGGGAAGCGAUAAGACCCCAAUGAGAGGAUUGGCAUGAGAUCUGUUUGGUCUCUUAGGUGAGCUCAAUCAUCAUUGCCCAAUAGCUGCUCUUUCCUUGGGGAGUGGAAAGUGGGCAUCUACCUGGCUGUUAGGCCGCCACAUCUCUUCCGCGACUCAAGAGAUCCAGUGUUCCGGCGAUUCUAGCGACCACCAAGGACCUGACUGCAUUCUUUCCUGCCGGCCUCCAAACCCAGGUGAGUAAGCACAAAACUAACGAUGUUACACUCGCGUAGGGUACGUAGCGUUCAGGAACAGGAGGUAUCAAAGGUAGAAUGGGGUACUCGCCGCUACUAGUACCAACUUCCCUGAAAUAAUGGUUCCCUAUCUGUGUGUAGCCCCGGUCGAGAGGCAAACUCGAAUAUUCAACACCUUUUUCCUUUCGCGCAAGAGAGAUCAAAGAAGCACUUUCGAGCGUCAUUUAGAUGUCCAAUCCCUACGCAGCAGAAAUGGUACACUAUCGAUCCAAGCCGGGCCGAUAAGAUGAGAUGGACUAGAAGAAAGAUGUGGCACUAUCUUUGACAGUUUUUUCGAAGUAGGGGCGCUAUGAUAGAAAGGAUUGGUUCACCCUGAGGGAAUGGUACCAUAUAUGCUUUAGCCUGUGCUUACCGACCGUCUUAAGGCCGACAUUUCCUUCGUGUGGACAGGACAGGACCUUUGUCAAGGUCUUCGUACGUGUGUAUCAAGGCAUUAUCAAGGCUUUCUACGUUGGUUGGACUGGAAAAGGACAAUGGCCUCCUAUACUUGGCCCUAAAUUCGUUACCAAAGCAAAACUCAAGCAUUCGGGUAAAAAGACAUCAACUGAGAAGAGAUUGCUUGCUCAGUCUAGGCAGGAGCUUAACUGUGUUCGGGUGCUGAAAGCCUUUCUCGGAUCAUUUGGUUGGUCGAUGUAUUAAGAGAAAGAGAACAGACAAGAAGGGGGUCAAAUACCAAGCUAAAG